rnacentral:rRNA from 1 species
UGCCAGCAGCCGCGGUAAGACGGGAGAUGCAAGCGUUAUUCGGAUUUAUUGGGCGUAAAGGGUCUGUAGGUUGUUGGUUAAGUCUAUGGUCAAAUUCCGAAGCUCAACUUCGGGCCGGCACUAGAAACUAAUCAACUUGAGUACGUUAGAGGCAGGGGGAAUUCCCAGUGUAGCGGUGAAAUGCGUAGAUAUUACACAGAAUACCAAUUGCGAAGGCAGAUCACUAACACUAUAUUGACGCUGAGGGACGAAAGCGUGGGUAGCGAACAGGAUUAGAUA